rnacentral:rRNA from 1 species
GACGAAACGCUGGCGGCAUGCCUAACACAUGCAAGUUCGAACGGAGAUAUUUCGGAAGCUUCGCUUUUUGGAUAUCUUAGUGGCGGACGGGCGAGUAACGCGUUGAGCAACCUGGCCUUCAGAGUGGAACAACGUCUGGAAACGGGCGCUAAUACCGCAUAAUACAAGAGAGUCGCAUGGCUUUUUUGUCAAAGGAGAAAUCCGCUGAAGGAUGGGCUCGCGUCCGAUUAGCUAGAUGGGGUGGUAACGGCACACCAUGGCGACGAUCGGUAGCCGAACUGAGAGGUUGAUCGGCCGCAUUGGGACUGAGACACGGCCCAGACUCCUACGGAGGCAGCAGUGGGGGAUAUUGGUCAAUGGGGGAAACCCUGAACCAGCAAUGCCGCGUGAGGGAAGAAGGUCUUCGGAUUGUAAACCUAAGUAGUCAGGGACGAAAGAAAUGACGGUACCUGAAGAGUAAGCUCCGGCUAACUACGUGCCAGCAGCCGCGGUAAUACGUAGGGAGCGAGCGUUGUCCGGAUUUACUGGGUGUAAAGGGUGCGUAGGCGGGAUGGCAAGUCAGAUGUGAAAUACCGGGGCUUAACUCCGGGGCUGCAUUUGAAACUGUCGUUCUUGAGUGAAGUAGAGGCAGGCGGAAUUCCUAGUGUAGCGGUGAAAUGCGUAGAUAUUAGGAGGAACACCAGUGGCGAAGGCGGCCUGCUGGGCUUUAACUGACGCUGAGGCACGAAAGCAUGGGGAGCAAACAGGAUUAGAUACCCUGGUAGUCCAUGCCGUAAACGAUGAUUGCUAGGUGUGGGGGGACUGACCCCCUCCGUGCCGGAGUAAACACAAUAAGCAAUCCACCUGGGGAGUACGACCGCAAGGUUGAAACUCAAAGGAAUUGACGGGGGCCCGCACAAGCAGUGGAGUAUGUGGUUUAAUUCGACGCAACGCGAAGAACCUUACCAGGUCUUGACAUCCAACUAACGAGGUAGAGAUACGUCAGGUGCCCUUCGGGGAAAGUUGAGACAGGUGGUGCAUGGUUGUCGUCAGCUCGUGUCGUGAGAUGUUGGGUUAAGUCCCGCAACGAGCGCAACCCUUGUGAUUAGUUGCUACGCAAGAGCACUCUAAUCAGACUGCCGUUGACAAAACGGAGGAAGGUGGGGACGACGUCAAAUCAUCAUGCCCCUUAUGACCUGGGCUACACACGUACUACAAUGGCCGUUAACAAAGGGAAGCAAAGCCGCGAGGCGGAGCAAAACCCCAAAAACGGUCCCAGUUCAGAUUGCAGGCUGCAACUCGCCUGUAUGAAGUUGGAAUUGCUAGUAAUCGCGGAUCAGCAUGCCGCGGUGAAUACGUUCCCGGGCCU